GGCAGAAUAGCUCAGUUGGAUAAAGAGCAUCUCAAGCUAAUGAGAAGGACUCGGGUUCAAACCCAGUUCAGCCA